rnacentral:rRNA from 1 species
UACGUAGGGGGCAAGCGUUGUCCGGAUUUAUUGGGCGUAAAGAGCGUGUAGGCGGUUAUAUAAGACAGAUGUGAAAUCCCCGGGCUCAACCUGGGAACUGCGUUUGUGACUGUAUGACUAGAGUACGGUAGAGAGGGGUGGAAUUCCUGGUGUAGCAGUGAAAUGCGUAGAUAUCAGGAGGAACAUCGAUGGCGAAGGCAGCCCCUUGGACCUGUACUGACGCUCAUGCACGAAAGCGUGGGGAGCAAACAGG